GCCUCGGUAGCUCAGCCUGGUAGAGCGCUUGACUGUUAAUCAAGUGGUCGCAAGUUCAAAUCUUGCCCGGGGCG
rnacentral:tRNA from 1 species